GAUGAACGCUGGCGGCGUGCUUAACACAUGCAAGUCGAGCGAGAAGUUUUGAAAGGAUUCUUCGGAUGAAAUUUAAAAUGGAAAGCGGCGGACGGGUGAGUAACGCGUAGGCAACCUGCCCCAUACAAAGGGAUAGCAUUUGGAAACGAAUAUUAAUACCUUAUGAAACUUAACUAGUGCAUGCUAGGUAGGUCAAAGAUUUAUCGGUAUGGGAUGGGCCUGCGUCUGAUUAGCUAGUUGGUGAGGUAACGGCUCACCAAGGCGACGAUCAGUAGCCGACCUGAGAGGGUGAACGGCCACAUUGGAACUGAGACACGGUCCAAACUCCUACGGGAGGCAGCAGUGGGGAAUAUUGCACAAUGGGGGAAACCCUGAUGCAGCAACGCCGCGUGAACGAUGAAGGCCUUUGGGUCGUAAAGUUCUGUUCUAGGUGAUGAAAACCGACAGUAACCUAGGAGAAAGCCCCGGCUAACUCCGUG
rnacentral:rRNA from 1 species